GGGAGACAUUAGGGGAGGUCUGCUCAGCUGUGGGCCUGCAGAAGGAAGGAAGGAUCCGCGAUAACCUCCACCAUGGCCUGGUCUCCUCUCCUUAUCCUCCUCGCUCACUGCACAGUGUCCUGGGCCCAGUCUAGGUUGACUCAGCUGCCCUCAGUGUCUGGUUCUCUGGGCCAGAGGGUCACCAUCUCCUGCGCUGGAAGCAGCUCUAAUAUUGGUCGUUAUGGUGUGAACUGGCAUCAACAAUUCCCAGGAAUGGCCCCCAAAGCCAUCAUCUAUAGUAAUAACAAUCGACCCUCCGGGGUCCCAGAUCGAUUCUCCGGCUCCAGUUCUGGCAACACAGGCACCCUGACCAUCACUGGGCUCCAGGCUGAGGACGAGGCCGAUUAUUACUGCUCAUCGUGGGACAGCAGUGACAGUGCUUGCACAGUGGUCCAGGCCUGUGGGGAAGUGAGACAAAAACCUGCUUUCUCAUCUGUAAAGGGAGGGAACAGACCAGCAGUCGCCUGCUCAGCUAGGCCUGUGAUGCUCCUUAUUCUUUUGCUGAUACUCUGGGCCCAGGUCCAUCCAGCGACACCUCGUGUGACUGAGGCUCUUCCUGUCCCUUCUGUUCUCAAAUUCACUCUGAGCAGACCAUUCUCCCUUCUGUUCUCAAAUUCACUCUGAGCAGACCAUUCUUAGACAAAGAG